rnacentral:rRNA from 1 species
GACGAACGCUGGCGGCGUGCCUAAUACAUGCAAGUCGAACGCAGUGGGGACGGGUGAGUAACACGUGGGUAACCUCCCAUCAGAGGGGAUAACACUUGGAAACAGGUGCUAAACCGAUACUGAUGGAUGGACCCGCGGUGCAUUAGCUAGUUGGUGAGGUAACGGCUCACCAAGGCCACGAUGCAUAGCCGACCGGAGAUUGUUAUCGGCCACACUGGGACUGAGACAGGGCCCAAAGUCCUACGGAGUGAAGAAGUAGGGAAUCUUAGGCAAUGGUCGAAAGUCUGACCGAGCGACGCCGCUUGAGUGAAGAAGGUUUUCGGAUCGGAAAACUCUGUUGUUAUAGAAGCGGUAUCUAACCAGAAAGCAACGGCUAACUACGUGCCAGCAGCCGCGGUAAUAC